GCCAUCCGCUGAGGGUGGCUUUUCUUUGGUAUAACUAGCCAGGGGAAUAAGGAGAGGGCAAGACUGGUGUCAGCCGCCGCGGUAAUACCAGCUCUCCGAGUGGUAGGGAUGAUUAUUGGGCUUAAAGCGUCCGUAGCCGGCUUAUCAAGUCUCCUGUUAAACUCAGCGACCUAAUCGUUGAAUCGCGGGAGAUACUACUAGGCUAGGAGGCGGGAGAGGUCGACGGUACUUCUGGGGUAGGGGUGAAAUCCUAUAAUCCCAGGAGGACCACCAGUGGCGAAGGCUGUUGACUAGAACGCGC
rnacentral:rRNA from 1 species